rnacentral:rRNA from 1 species
CAGUAGCCGCGGUAACACGUAGGUGGCAAGCGUUGUCCGGAAUUAUUGGGCGUAAAGCGCGCGCAGGUGGUUUAAUAAGUCUGAUGUGAAAGCCCACGGCUCAACCGUGGAGGGUCAUUGGAAACUGUUAAACUUGAGUGCAGGAGAGAAAAGUGGAAUUCCUAGUGUAGCGGUGAAAUGCGUAGAGAUUAGGAGGAACACCAGUGGCGAAGGCGGCUUUUUGGCCUGUAACUGACACUGAGGCGCGAAAGCGUGGGGAGCAAACAGGAUUAGAUACCCCUGUAGUCCCUGUCUCUUAUAC